rnacentral:rRNA from 1 species
CUAACACAUGCAAGUCGAACGGCAGCACAGAGGAGCUUGCUCCUUGGGUGGCGAGUGGCGGACGGGUGAGGAAUACAUCGGAAUCUACUCUGUCGUGGGGGAUAACGUAGGGAAACUUACGCUAAUACCGCAUACGACCUACGGGUGAAAGCAGGGGAUCUUCGGACCUUGCGCGAUUGAAUGAGCCGAUGUCGGAUUAGCUAGUUGGCGGGGUAAAGGCCCACCAAGGCGACGAUCCGUAGCUGGUCUGAGAGGAUGAUCAGCCACACUGGAACUGAGACACGGUCCAGACUCCUACGGGAGGCAGCAGUGGGGAAUAUUGGACAAUGGGCGCAAGCCUGAUCCAGCCAUACCGCGUGGGUGAAGAAGGCCUUCGGGUUGUAAAGCCCUUUUGUUGGGAAAGAAAUCCAGCCGGCUAAUACCUGGUUGGGAUGACGGUACCCAAAGAAUAAGCACCGGCUAACUUCGUGCCAGCAGCCGCGGUAAUACGAAGGGUGCAAGCGUUACUCGGAAUUACUGGGCGUAAAGCGUGCGUAAGGUGGUCGUUUAAGU